GUAGUCCACGCCCUAAACGAUGGAUACUAAACGAAGGCGGUAUUAACUCCGCCUGUGUUGAAGCUAACGCGAUAAGUAUCCCGCCUGGGGAGUACGGCCGCAAGGUUGAAACUCAAAGAAAUUGACGGGGACCCGCACAAGCAGCGGAGCAUGUGGUUUAAUUCGAAGCAACGCGAAGAACCUUACCAAGACUUGACAUCGAGUGAAAGCCGUAGAGAUACGGCCCUCCUUCGGGACACGAAGACAGGUGGUGCAUGGUUGUCGUCAGCUCGUGUCGUGAGAUGUUCGGUUAAGUCCGGCAACGAGCGCAACCCCUAUGAAUAGUUGCCAAUAUUAAGUUAGGAACUCUAUUCAGACUGCCGUGGAUAACACGGA
rnacentral:rRNA from 1 species